rnacentral:rRNA from 1 species
UACAGAGGUCUCAAGCGUUGUUCGGAUUCAUUGGGCGUAAAGGGUGUGUAGGUGGCGCCGUAAGUCAGUGUGAAAUCUCGGGGCUUAACUCCGAAACUGCAUUUGAUACUGCGGUGCUUUGAGGACUGGAGAGGAGACUGGAAUUUAUGGUGUAGCAGUGAAAUGCGUAGAUAUCAUAAGGAAGACCAGUGGCGAAGGCGGGUCUCUGGACAGUUCCUGACACUGAGACACGAAGGCCAGGGGAGCAAACGGG